rnacentral:lncRNA from 1 species
UAGAUUAGAAUUAAUCUUAAUUAGCUAAUUGACCUCACUGGACCCACAUGUCAGUGACUUAUUAGAUUAUUUUGUUUUAUUUUUAUUAUUCCAGAUUAUACAGAGGCUGGCCCCACACGUCAGUGGCUCAGGCCAGCUGAGAUCCACGGGCGGCGAGGUCGUGCUCGCCGGCGGGGAGCCUCCGGCGACCACCAGUACGGUGGAGGGCAUCGGAAACUCGCCUCCGACGACCAAACUCACGGCAGUGACCACGGGGAGAACGGCCACUCGACGGCGCGCACGAUGGGACAAACCCCACGGUCUGGGGUGGCCGGAAUCGACGCCGAUGACGAGCUUGGCGGCGACCAAGUUCGGCCAUCGUCGAAGCCAUCGAUCACAGGGUCAAAACGCGUGGGACUGGGCUCCUAAAGCAUCUACGUGAUGUCCAGAGGCUGCUGGUGAACUCAGACGGACCAACCCUUCACCGGAGGGCUACCGGUGACGAGCUUCAGCGGCCGUCCUUGUCGGGCUCCGGUGGAACUAGGCCUAGAGGAGGGGAUCGACGGGGAAAUCUUAGGGGAAAGUUGCGCAAGCUCACGAGGAGUGCAGAGGAGGGCUUAGACGGCUCGGCAAAGCACUGAGGGCGACGAAUCAAGCAGAGCUCGCCGGCGGCCGAAGGUUGAAGACGACGGUGUCGUGGGCGUUGCAGGGCUCGGAGAGGCUUCGGCUUCUGCAGGGAGGACCAGCUCGUCGAGCCGGAUCUAAUGGCACACUCGGGAGGAAGAUCCUAUGGCUAGGGGCACGGGCAGCUCGAGCUCGAGCUCUUGUCAAUGGAGGCAGUGGGGAUCGGGAGAACCGAGAGGAGAGGGGGGAGAAGGAGCACGGGAAUGGAUAGCUACGUGCUCGGGGAGGUUAUCCCCGUGCUUGCCAGCGCGAAGCGGCGGCCAGGCAGGCAGAGAGCUGCGUGGAGGCGCGCGGCGACGCGGCGGCCACCUCCUGCUCCUACUGGCGAGGAGGAAGACGACAGCGCUACUGGGCCUGGGCUGAGGUGAGCGACAGGUAGUUCCUUCCUCUAUUUUUUCUGUUUUGUUUCUGUUUUCCUAACUAAUUGAUUUACUAUUUAUUUCAGCUCCAAAAUAGUUUGUAAAACCUAUUUUGAACACCCCAGAAUAUUUGUUGGAAUAUUUCCAACCAUUCCUGGAGUUUUCAACAUUUUUGAAAACUUAAAGUUUUUGAACUCAAAUUUUAAACAUGAAACCAGUAGCUUUUUGCAUUUAUUUAAAAUGCCAAAAGUGUUAUGGAAAUGGUUUUCUUCAUUGCUUAUUUACUUCCAUGAUUUAUCAGAAAACUUGAACUUUUCUUGAGGCCAUUUUGAGUUCAUUGAUUUGAACAGGUUUAUAAUUCCUUUGAAUUUGAGAAGUGGCUAGGGUUUUUGAGUGUUCCUUCACCACUUUCUUGUUCUUGUUGCAAUUCUCUUGGAUGCAAUGCAAAGAAGAUAUGAGCACAAUGCUAAACCUUGGUUAGGGUUCCAGGGAUGUGACAUCUCACCCCCACUCAAAAGAAUCUCGUCCCGAGAUUUAGAAGUCGUCGGGAAUAACACAAGAUACUCAAGUCGGAGACGAUCCUCUCUUUCCCAAGUUGCGUACUUCUAAGAAUGAUUUGACCAUUGAACUUUAAGAAACUGGAGGUUUCGACGUCGAGUGGUACGCUCAGCUUGAUCAAGAAUACGCAUGGGGUAUUCUCGGUAUGAAAGGUUAUCUUGGAGAUCAAGCGUUUCGUGGUCCACUUCACGGAUAGGAUCCGAAAAGCAACGCCUGAGUUGCGAGACGUGGAAGACAUCAUGAACCUUAGAAAGAUGCGGAGGAAGUUCCAACUGGUAGGCAACUUCUCCUCGUUUGGAAAGAAUGCGAAAAGGACCAAUGUAACGAGGAGCCAACUUGCCCUGGAUACCGAAUCGAUGGGUACCCUUCAAAGGUGUAACCCGAAGGUAAGCCUUCUCGUCAACUUCAAAGGUCACAGCCUUAUGAUGACGAUCAUAUUCGCUCUUUCGACGAGACUGGGUUGUUUUCAACUUUUCACGAAUAAUGCGAACCUGCUCUUAUGCAUCAUGGAUCAUAUCCGGGCCAAAGAGUUGCCUGUCUCCGGUUUCUGACCAAUUAAGAGGUGUUCGACAUCUUCGUCCAUAGAGAACUUCAAAAGGAGCUUUGCCCAAGCUUGAUUGAUAACUAUUGUUAUAAGCGAAUUCGGCGAAUGGAAGGCACUUCUCCCAAUUCAUACCGAACGAUAUAACACAAGCUCGGAGCGUAUCUUCUAGGAUUUGAUUCACUCUUUCUACUUGACCAGUUGAUUGGGGAUGGAAAGCAGUGCUAAAAGAUAAGUGAGUCCCCAUGGCAUUCUGAAAACUCUCCCAGAAGAGAGAAGUAAAGAUACUCCCACGGUCCGAGUUAAUCUCCAAGGGAACACCAUGAAGAGACACUAUUCGAGAGAUAUAUAACUCCGCUAGCUGGCUAGCUGUUAUACUCUCACGAACGAGAAGAAAAUGAGCCACUUUGGAGAGUCGGUCAAUGACCACAAAGAUAGCAAUAUUUCCUUCCUUGGUCUUGGGAAAUCCGGUGAUGAAAUCCAUACUAACUUUAUCCCAUUUCUAUUCAAGAAUAGCUAAAGGUUGAAGGGUUCCAGCAGGCCUUUGAUGUUCUGCCUUAACUCGAUGACAAACGUUGCAGUUAGCAACGAACUCAGCAAUUUCUCUCUUCAUCCUAGUCCACCAGAACCUCUGGCGUAGGUCCUGAUACAUCUUAGUACUCCCGGCAUGAAUGGUGAAAGGAGAAUCAUGAGCCUCCUUAAGGAUCAAUUGCCGCUGACGUUUGCUCUUGGGAACCACUAAACGGUUCUGAAAGAACACAACACCUUUCUCAUUGAUGUAGAAAUCCCUAGCGUUACCGCUAGCAAUAUUCUCCUUGAUCCGGGAUAUACCCUUAUCAUAAGCCCACACGGCUAUGAUUAGAUCCCUAAGAGUAGGCUUCGCCACCAGGGUAGAAAGGAAUCCUUGAGGAACAAUAUGAAGAUUCAACUUCCGAAAUUCCUCAUAGAGAUGUGGUUGACCUUGUUGUAGCAUCAAAUUGUUACAAUAAGAUUUACGACUUAGUGCAUCAGCCAUAACAUUGGCCUUCCCCGGGGUGUAAGUUAUCCCUAAGUCGUAAUCCGAGAUCAACUCAACCCACUGUCUUUGCCUGAGAUUCAAAUCCGGCUGGGUGAAGAUAUAUUUCAGACUUUGGUGAUCGGUGAAUAUUUCGCAACGAUUACCCAGAAGGAAAUGUCGCCAGGUUUUUAGUGCAUGGACCACAGCUGCAAGCUCAAGGUCAUGUGUGGGAUAAUUAUCCUCAUGUGGACGCAACUGUCGAGAUGCGUAUGGGAUCACCUGAUGAUCUUGCAUGAGAAUGCAACCUAAUCCUUGUCGCGAGGCGUCCCAAUAGAUAACAAAGUCCUUAGAAAAAUCUGGUGGUAGCAACACAGGUGCGGAAGUCAGGCGUCUCUUCUGUUCCUGAAAACUAUGCUCACACUGUGGUGUCCACUCGAACUUUUUAUCCUUCUUGAGGAGUUCAGUUAGAGGCUUUGCAACCUUGGAGAAAUUCUUGACAAAGCGGCGACAAUAGCUCGCUAGACCAACAGAAACUCCUAACUUGCUUAACCGAUUCAGGUUGAGUCCAAUCAAGGACAACUUGAACUCUCUCGGGAUUGACAGCGAUACCCUUACCAGAGAUUACGUGACCUAGAUAGGUCACUUCUGGUAACCAAAAUUCACAUUUUGAAAACUUGGCAUAAAGGCGAUGCCCUCGAAGUUUCAUCAAUACCAGCCUUAGAUGCUCGGCAUGUUCUUGUUCGUUCUUUGAGUAGAUGAGAAUAUCAUCAAGGUAUACCAUGACGAAUUUAUCCAAAAACUCCAUGAAGAUUGAAUUCAUCAGACGAGAGAAGGUGGCUGGGGCAUUGGUUAAACCGAAGGACAUGACGGUGUACUCGUAUUGGCCAUAACAAGUAACAAAAGUCGUUUUUGGAAUGUCCGCGUUCUUGAUCUUGAUUUGGUGGUAUCGCAACCUCAAAUCCAUUUUGGAGAAGACUGAGGAUCCAGCGAGCUGAUCGUACAGAUCGUUGAUCCUGGGGAGCGGAUACUUGUUCUUUACGGUGUCCAGAUUAACUAGUCGGUAAUCUACAACCAUCCGAUCCGUUCUGUCUUUCUUGUUGACGAAUAGGACUUGGCAAGCCCAAGGAGAAGAGCUAGGACGAAUGAAACCUUUAUUCAAGGCCUCAUCUAGUUGCUUCUUAAGUUCGGCUAGCUCCAGGGGUGCCAUGUUAUAUGGUCUUCUGGCUAUUGGGACAGUUCCGGGAACAAGAUCUGUCACAAACUCUACAUCUCUGUCAGGUGGAAUUCCUGGCAGUUCCUCUGGAAAAACAUCCGGAAGUCACGGACUACCGGAAUGUCUUCAAGUUCCGGAAGAGGGUUGGCAUUUAGGGAAUAGAGUUGGCAUUUGGCAACUCGAGUAGAGACAUUGACUAUCUCACCCGAGGGAUGGGUAAGCUGAACAUUUCUAGAAUGGGUAUCAAUCUUGGCAUAGUGAGCUGACAUCCAGUCCAUACCCAAGAUGAUAAUAAUAUCCAAAGAUUGCAAGGCUAUCAAUGAAGCUAGAAAAACUAGCCUGUCUACUAGAAUUUCAUUGUCAUAGGUUAUCCUAGAGGUUUGCCAUUUACUACCAGGAGUUUGGACAACCAAUGGAAUUGGCAUAUCACAAAAAGACAUGUUAUGCAACUGUGCAUAACUUUCUGAAAUGAAGGAAUGAGAAGACCCAGUGUCAAAGAGAACAGACACUGGGUGAUGAUUAACAAGAAGCAUACCCAGUAUGACGUCGGGAUCCUCUGCAGCUUCUUUUGCUGAGACAUAGUUCACUCGGCCACGUGCAGGAGUUGGCUUCACAUAGUAAGCUUUGCCUGACUUGCCUUGCCCGACGGACUUUCCAGGUUGCUUGGCACCCACAUUUUGAGGACACUCACAGGAAUAGUGCCCUGGUUCUCCACACUUGUAGCAUAUCACUUGGUUGGCACGUGGUGCAGCAUUGCUAGCUGGACCACCAUAAGUUUUUGCUGGAGGGUUGGUCUGAUUCGUCUGAGGCGCCACAUAGGAUGGCCUCGGAGUGUAUCUUGGCGGCACAGAACUGUUCGGAACCCACAGCCUGCGUUUUGGAAACGCGGAACCAGAUGACGAGCCAAAGUCACGGGAGUGCUUCCUUGUGGCUUCAAAGUCAGUAUGACCAGUCUCGGCACUGAUCGCCUUGUUGACCAGGGCUUGAAAGCUUGCACACUCGUGGAGGCGCAGAUCACGAUGAAGCUCAGGGCUCAGACCCUUACGGAAUCUUGCUUGCUUCUUGGCGUCAGUAGACACCUCCUCUGUUGCAUAGCGGGUGAGGUUUCCGAACUCGCGGCUAUAGGCAUCCACGGUCAACUUGCCCUGAGUGAAAGCACAUAACUCCUCUUGCUUUCUGUCCAUCAGGCCCUCUGGAAUAUGGUGCAGACGGAAGGCUGCACUGAAGUCCGCCCAUGUGGCUGCUGGUUCAGCAGGAUGCAUAGCUUCAAAGUUCUCCCACCACAGAUUGGCGGGUCCUUCCAGGAAAUACGCCGCAAAGGUCACCUUGUCGGCCUCAGAAACAUUCGCAGAGCGAAUCUUGCGUGAGAUGCUGCACAGCGAGUCAUCAGCGUCGAGGGGAUCGACGGAGUGAUGAAAUUUUGGAGGAUUCAGCUUCACAAAGUCGUUGAGGGACACUGCAGCAUUCCUAGGCUGACGAGCCGUAUUCUGCUCAAUACGCUCUAACAGUCGGUUGGUCUCCCUUUUGUUUCUCUCUCCCUCUAGCAUAACUUCCGCCAGAGAGGGGGUGAGGCAGGUCUUCCUGCGACGCUUGACUACCCUCGCCUUGCUCAUGAGCAGGGGCACGGUUCAACCUGGUGAACACCAUCCUGACAAACAAACUCACAGCUUAGACCAAUAUCAUAUCAAUACUAGCUAUGGAUUUAGAAUGUACUAAACACACGGAAUGCGGAAAUGAAUAUCCGAACAACAUGGUAACAAGCAACUGCUAUAUAUACACCAUGGUUCAUACACACCCUUACAUAGUUCAGUACAACCUUACUUGAAGAGCAAACUACUGAAAUUAUGAAACUACUCAUCAGAGGCUUACAAGCUUCCUAUACAUUAUUUAUCUAGGCCUCCGAAAUUCAUUUCACAUCACACGCAUACUUCACAAGUCACGCAGGACUGUGAACGUACGGCUACUACCAUACUAUCCUUCCGCUCACAGCUCAGGCAUCCGCAUAGAACAUCUCAUAGAGAUUACUUCCAUGACCUGGAAGCUCAACCUGCGGAUCAGGAAACACUCUGGCCUGAGAUCCCUGGGGAUCCAUAAGGACACGGAUGUGGCCUUGGUCCCCUGACUGGUGGAAAGAGGGGUCCCCGAAGAGGGGUGACUCCUCCUAUAGCUGGCUAGUCAACGUGGGCCGGAAGAUGGGUCCUAACAGGGUUCAACAUCUCCAUAUCUCCAUACCCUCUCUGGACUACCGGUGCCAGCUGCGUCAAAGCCGUCCACAGACGGGCACGGGUAGCAUAAAGCUCCAUGCGGAGAGCACGAGCAUCCCUGUCUCUGUUCUCUAGCAUCUCAAAAGUGGACUGCAGUAGUGGAUCCUCCAUAGAAGAAUCAAAAUAGACUCCGCCGAGGUAUCCCUCUUCACCAGGCUGAGAGGCCGGAACAUAGCAGAACUCUGAAUUCUACAGCAGUGCAUGUCUCGCCCUCAUAAUGGUCAGGAUUGAAUAGGCAGCAUCUUGUACUGCCAUGUCAACAGUGACUCCCAACCCAUAGGACCAAUGGAUUGGCUCCUCAGCUCUAGGGUAGUCUGGAAAUACCCUAAUAGUGCAGAUAUACUGACUCUGGUUGAAGUCUCGGUACUGUUCCUCCAAUGUGUACUCGGGGUACCAGCGGUAACCGCACACCGACAUCACCCUCACCAACAUGGUCGUAUGACCCGGCACAUCAAUGCACCUGGUCAGACGUACCACCUGUCGAGAAGGAUGGCCAGGCAUCUGAAAUAGAGAGUAAUGCAAAAGCAUUAGAGCUCUGAAUGCAAAAUUGGGCAGCAUAACGGCUGUAAAUGCUCAAAACAAUUUUUGAGACAACCCAAAAAUGGAAUGACGUAACCACUCAACUAUCAAGUUCAAUUCUCUGAUCAUCAAACAUACUUCCUUUUUCCUAGGAAUGAAAGAAACCCAAAUAUCUCUUGACCCGUAGUCCUAUAAUCUACCGAUCAGAAACACGAGCCUAGAAGAAGAUGAGUAACCUAGUCCUUACUUCCCGCAGAAAAGACGAGGAUGACCAGAAUAGAAUAACUUGAGAAGAGAACAAGAGUCUUAAGUUCCCUUCCACAAACAAUUCCCUUAUAUAUAACUAAAGCAAUUCUAGACUCAACUUCGACCAGUUUGGCUUAGUAAUCCUACAGUCAGUCAGGGUCUGAUACCAACGCUGUCGGGACCCCGAUCCUAAGCCAUAGGAAUCCAGCCUGUAACACAACGCAUCACUUUGCGGUCUCACGCACGGUUAACCCCACGGCUGCAGCCUUACCUUAGCUGGGACCGUUUGCGCCUUUUGCCUCACGUAUGCAAUUGUGUCGCUAGCAUUCCAAUGUCAAAGAACCCGGAUCGACAAGUCUAGUCAUAAACCAAAGUGGCAGUACCGCACAAGGACAGGCAUACAUGACCCAACAAAGCAGGUGUCGGUCACCAGCUAAUGUAGACGAGUAGUAGCAAGCUACAAGGACUCCAUUACAUCGCGUGACAUUUCCCAAAGGGGACAGACACAUGCCGGUCAACCAAUGUGUCCGGAGCAGUAGCGAGCUACCAUGGCUCGUUGGAUCACAAAGGGGCAUUUCCCUGUAAGGAGUGCUACUAAACUUCACGGCUAGGUAAUCGAACCCCAUACAUAUCAAGUACGACACACGUACGCAUGGCAUAGCGAUAUGUAUACAUACAUCGAUGGCAUCACAACAUAACCAUAAACAUACAAGCUUUAUUUAAGAGGCUCGGAAGAGCCACACACAUAAUAUUACACAGUAAGGGUCUCACGACCCAUAAUAGCAAUCAUUCAGUUACAAGCCAGCGGAAGUGUUUAUAACUGUCUGAGUACAGACAGGUGAAACUAGAGGGCACAUGGCCUGACUAUACUACACACCCAACCUAGGGCCAGAUCGUAACUGGGACACCAGAUACUCGUCGUCGUCGAUGUCUAUGAAGAACCCUCCAUUAGGGUCAUUAGAAACCUCUGCAACAUUUAUUAAGCAAACAUGAGUACGGAGGUACUCGGUAAGACUUUAGGAUAACUUUCUACUCAUGCAAUGUAUCAAUAAGGUAUUGUGGGGUUUCAUGCGGAAAGCCAGCAUUUGACUCGUGGCUAGACAACUUGCAUUUUAAAAUAAUUUUGACAACUUGAUUCCUCACACACGAGUCCACUAACACUACAACAAUACUCCAUCGUGGAAUCAUUCCGUGUCCAUACGGAAAUGCCGGCCACGACAGUCACGCUUAUCUUGACAAUUUUAUGAGUAGCCAUUGAAGUUAUCUAUGAACAACAUAUGUCUCCAAGUAGUCCAUAUCCGCGGAUGCGGCUAUUCGAAUAGAUCAUAACCCUGCAGGGGUGUACUUCGUCACACACGCUCUCGCCACUUAUGGCCAUGUGCACGUCAUGCACCUUGGCAACCUUCAAGCGGAAGCCCAGCGAGGGAGUCGGCCAGGACCGUUAACCACACUAAUACCUAGUUCAGGUUUAUCGCCUAUCUGAGAGUAACCCAUACGGAAGUCCGGCCGAGGUUUCCACCACAGCCUCAAACGAUGUGCGCAGGGUUCCCAAGCCCACCAUCCGGGUGCCACUUGGUACACCGUGCCACUGCCUACCGCAUCACAGCCCACCUCUCAGGUCAGCGCUAUGCACGGCCUCCAGCAUGACUAUAAACACCAGCAACUAAUUGCAACUCCUGGACCGAGUACUAAGCGAUUAAUAAGUCGAGAGGGUCAAUUAAGUAUCCCAACGUGUGGUAGUAUCUAGUCUUGGAUUACAUACACGGAACUCAGUUCCUAAGGACGGUUCCAAUGAAACAACCCGCCAUGUACUCCUACACAGCCUUUCACCGGUACCUUUACCAAAUCAGGUUCAACACACAACCUUUGCUUACCGAACACAUUCUCACAAUUUUGUUCAUCUCCCAGAUAACAUACCAUACACAACUCGAAGCAUAGCAUGCAUAGCAGGAUAAGGCACAUCAUGGCUCAAGGAACUACCAGGUAAGCUAGGUUGCAAGGUUUUGCUAUUUACUGUGACAAGGAUAGGUCAUGCAAAGGAAGUGGGUUCAACUAACGUGGCAAAAGCAUUUGAAGCAUUUGAUCCUAAUGCAAUAAGUAAGUGCAGGAGCAAGAACAUGGGAUUUAUCGGGAUGAUCAAAAUGGUUGCUUGCCUUGUUGCUCAGAGGAGGGACAAUAUCCGUCAGACGGAUAUUCGGUGGACCCCGGGGGAGCGGAGCCUACCCAAAGGAAUGACAACAAUCAAUAACAAACAUAUGCAAUCAAGAUGAUGCAUGAGCAUGGCAUGAGGAUGCAAGGUGGUAUUUUAUUAUAGCUAACAUUUAGUAGGUUUGAAGUUGAUUUGAAUCAAAUUCAAAUAUCACUUCAAACGAGGUAUUCUCGAAUACCAUUCUAAUUGAUUCGACCUGAUGCUCAGAUCAACUUGCUUUUAACAUGCAUGGUAUGACAUGUUAGGUUGCUGGUUUGUAAUUUGGACAGUGUUUGAUCAUAUCAUGUGAAGUGAAAUUUAAAUAUUUUCCAAAUUCCAUCUCCAAAGUAUUUAUAAGAAUUAACUUAUUCAUUAAUCUACAUGUUUGGGUUGAGUAACAUUUUCAAACAUGUUUGAAAAUGACAUAUUCAGAUUCCUUGGAUUUUUUCUGAUACUUUUUCAUACAUAAAUUAUUUUCAUUGGAGUUACACAUUAAUUUCUAUGAUUUUUAGAAGUUUUGGCAUUUUUCUGGAAUUCUUUUAAAUCACAAAACUCUUUAUUGCAUCAGCAUGACAUCAGUAGGUCCAACUGGCCGUUGAAAGUCAAACCUGACCAGUGGGACCCACUGGUUAGUGACACUGGCCAGUUUUAGAUUAGAAUUAAUCUUAAUUAGCUAAUUAACCUCACUGGACCCACAUGUUAGUGACUUAUUAGAUUAUUUGGUUUAUUUUUAUUAUUCCAUAUUAUACAGAGGCUGGCCCCACACGUCAGUGUCUCACGCCAGCUGAGAUCCAGUGGCGGCGAGGUCGUCCUCGCCGGCGGGGAGCCUCCGGCGACCACCAGUACGGUGGAGGGCAUCGGAAACUCGCCUCCGACGACCAAACUCACGGCAGAGACCACGGGGAGAACGGCCACUCGACGGCGCGCACGAUGGGACAAACCCCAGGGGCUGGGGUGGCCGGAAUCGACGUCGGCGACGAGCUUGGCGGCGACCAAGUUCGGCCAUCGUCGAAGCCAUCGAUCACAGGGUCAAAACGCGCGGGGCUGGGCUCCUAAAGCAUCUACGUGAUGUCCUGAGGCUGCUGGUGGCCUCAGAAGGACCAACCCUUCACCGGAGGGCUACCGGCGACGAGCUGCAGCGGCAGUCCUU